GAAAUUUUAACUUGUGUGAAAAAAAGAAGGGAACGCGAAAACUGUAUGAGCAAAUCACAUCUCUGGCCCUUUGAGAUUUACAGAUAGCUCCACUAGAAAUGAUCACACACUGGACCCUUAACAUUAUUUUAGUUCAGCCUAUGGAUCAUUGUAAAACACAGUUCUAUUAUAGUAGAAUUGUUGUUAUCAGGCGAUUACUUUUUAAUAAUAUC
rnacentral:lncRNA from 1 species